AAAUUAUUGUGCCCAAUAAUAAAGUGAAGUUCUGAAAUUAACCGACUCCUCUAUCCCCUUCUUUCCCUUUCUUUUUGAGACAGACCUCCCAACUCCUCUCCCUUCCCUCCUUUCUCUCCUCCCCAUCUUUACCUCACCUCGUUCGCGCAACAGCGCCGCUGCACACCGGUCAUCAACGAUCGUAAAAUUAUACCUCCAGAAUCCUCUUUCCGUCCUCUUUCCAUCCCCAAGUUAGUUUAUGCAAAUUUGUAGCUGAAUUUUCUGAAUUUCAGAUCUAAGAAAUGGUGACCGCGACUUUCCGGCCAAGAUUGCCGGAAUUGGACCACGACCCAAGAAUUAAAAACGAUCCUCUCCUCUGGGCUGUCCUCCAACGUUCAGUUGGAGAAAUGGCUCCUGCUAUUCCUGGUGUGCCUGAUAGGUUAACAGCACAUAAUCCAUUGAAGGCUCUUGCGGGUGAGAGGGCAUACUCUGAGGAUUUAUGUUGAUGAACUUCUCUAGAUUCACGAAGGAAGAAAAUCAUACCAGACAUGACAAAGUCCAAACCUUUAUGAGGAGAGAUUUUUUUUGCAUUAGUUCCAGCAGGAAGCACCAAAGCGGCCUGUCCUAAAAUGGGAGAACAACGUGGCAUGGCCAGGAAAAGUUGCAUUAACUGAUAAAUCUAUUUAUUUUGAGGAAGAGGAGGAUGAAAAUCCUUAUACGAUUAUGGUUCCUCGAGUCGAUUCAGAUUUGCUUCCUUUUGUUAUUAAGCUGAGACAAGUCCUGUGACCAGGUACUCAUCGGCGACAAGUCCCUUGACCAGGUACUCCUAAUUUCUUCUGCCUUUUCCUAUUUGCUAUUCCUAUUCAAUUGGAGGAGUUAUACUAAUGAAUUGAAUUGAAUUGAAUUGAAUUGAAUUGGGUAGAAACAAACCCAUUAGAUUAAAGAAGUUCAACACUACUCAUUGUUUCUUAUUGUAGAUAGGGUUGUAAAUAGAUUUCCACAUGUAUAUAAGUGGUUUGGCUUAUCAUAUAUAUAUUUAAAACUUUCUACAUGUUUUAUACAGUUUCAAAACCCGCAGCAAUGCGCGGGUACUCUUGCUAGUAUUAACUUAUUCAUCUAAUGAAAGAUUUUCAGUCUCAUUUUGGAGUUUGGUGUUGUGAACCCUUUUGUACAUGCAAGGUUUAUAUAUAUAUAUGUGUGUGUGUAUGUAUGUUUAUAUGCAGGUUUCAAGAAGGUGAAAGUUGCCAGAGACAAGUGUUCCCCAUAUGCUGCCAUGCUUGCAGCAGAUGUUUCACAGAGAUGAAAGUGCUGCCCCUACACGUUGUUAAGGGUUUAAAUGAUAACAAUGAAGUGGCCUCCACACACGUUUUGGAUACUCCCAGUUCCUUCUCACGAAUCACGAUCAUGUGGCUGGUCACUUGGCUGAGGCAAGUUUGGUUAGUAAUGAUACCAUCUCGAGUGCGAGAGGUUUGAAUGAGGCUUCUCCCUCACAUUUUGUGGAGGGUUUAGUUGAUGACAAUGAUACAACCUCGAAACAGGUUUCAGAUUCUCCGAAUGUUUCUCCCAUUAGAGGUAUUCAGGUAAACUCUUCUAUUGUGUUCUCUGGGAGAAAUAGUGCUAAUAAUUCAAUUCAAGCUGGUUUUCCAGUUCAGGUGGCGAGUCAUCCUUUAUCACCUCAAGUUCAUUCUGAAAUCAAAAAUGUUAUUUUUACCAUUUAUUUGUACCAUCACUUAUACUAUCUCUCCAAUAGAGAUAGGAUCCAUAUGAGUUAGCGGACCCUACUUCUAUUAGAGAGAUGGUAUAAGUGAUGGUACAACUAGAUGGUAAGUAUAGCACUACUCUUCUGAAAUACAAAAAGUCAAUGAUUGGUACACUACGGCGGAGGAAGAUGCUUUUUAAGUAAUAUUGAUGAGCGUGGAAACAAUGAUUUAGAGCGAGCAAAUAAUAUUUCUAACCAAGUUGAGGAUGAUAUGACUUUGGUGAUUUCAAAAUCUUAAAAGAGAAAAUUACGGAAUAAUAACGAGAAUCUGUCUGAUUCUCUUAAUUCUGGUUUUAUGAAGAAUUUAGUGGAAGAGCUUUACAUUAUUCGUUCUGUUGGCUUUCAUGGACGUCCUACAAAGGCUCUAAAAGUUAUUGAGGUGUCAGCAUUCAUGGACAUCCUGCAAGGGCUCCAAAAUUAUUGAGGUGUUCACUUUCUCUCAUCAUCUUCGUCUUCUUUGACGACGGUGCCUUGGUGGCUUUUAGUUCGUUAGCAUAAUUGUGGAGUUUUAUUAUCUUCCAUGCAAAUUCAUCUUUCUCUUAAUUUUAAAGAGGGUAAUCAAGUUGCUGACUGUCUGGUCAAUUAUGGUAUUGAUCACCCUAGUGUUCAUGUGUCGGAUUCAUGCCCUCCUUUUUGCAUCUACUUACUCUCAUAAUUUUUCAGCUUCUUUGUUAUAGGUUAUGUUAGAAGUGGUUUUGGGUUGUUGUUCAUGGCUUUUUAAAGGUCAGGGUUAGGCUUCAUGGCCCUCUUGACAUUUGUAAUUUUGUUGUUGUUUUUAAUAAAUUUACCUUAGUCUCUUUUCA